rnacentral:lncRNA from 1 species
CUGAGAUGAAAAGGCCGUUGUCUUUUAUCUGCCCAGAGGAUAAGCCUUGGCCAUUGCAACCGGAAUGUGACAGAUUGGAUGGACCACGAUCUCCAUCGCCAGUCUCCUCGAGGAUGAACAGGCUCCCUCUGUGCUGCUCCAGGACGACAUCCCACUCUGUGAAGAGGCGGCUCUGCAGCUGGACAGAGACCUCCAAUUAAUUCCCGUCUCCGGAGGGAAGCCUAACAGACCACAUGUGGAGAGCUGCCCUGGACACCUUCGUCUUGCAAAUUGGAACGGCAUUGAUUUUACCAGCACAGCUAAUCGAAGCCACAGAAACAACGGGGGGUUUUCUAAUGUGUCAGCACACCACGGUAAAGUAAAUCACAAGUAGAAAUAUGAAGUUUUUUACAGGGCUUCUUUAGCUCUUAGCUAACUGAGUGUAGCAUAGACUCCUACUGGGUGAGAUAUCAGCCCAUCGUUUUAUGUUAAUCUCCCACGGACGCUCAGUGGAGGAAGUCCAAAUAAUGUGCCCUGCUUUACGACACAACAGCAGGGUCCACAUCAGGGGGCUCCACCUUCUGAUCCUGGAAAGUCCAAACCUUAUCUACUGCACAACUAAAGGGUAUACAUUGUUUCUGUUAGUCCUUUAAGAAAACAUUGCAGAUUUAAAUCUGUGGUCAAUAAAUCUUUACCUGUUCAUAAAUCAGCAUGAGUGGUCUUCAUCUCGGGUCCUAAAAUCAGAAGCCGGUAGGUUUUAUGGGGAACAACAGCUUCUCAAUGGUGAAAGACAAUCUCAAUAAACAAUGAAGCCUUUGCUCAGGGUCACUGUCCAGAUUGUUGAUGCCUGUGGGUUUCAAGGCAAGGUUCCAGUGUGAGGCCCUGUUCUUCACAAUGAACAGCGAGACGCGAAACAGAGAGCACAAAGGGAAAACUACGUGGAAGUGCAUUUAAAACUCAGAACGGGAGGCUCUUCUUUCCAAAGAGGGAUGUGGGUGUGUGGAACAAACUUCCCUCCCUGUUGUGAAAGCCAGUAUCCUGGCGUCUUUCAGCAAAC